GAAAUGCGAUAAGUAAUGUGAAUUGCAGAAUUCAGUGAAUCAUCGAAUCUUUGAACGCACAUUGCGCCCCCUGGUAUUCCGGGGGGCAUGCCUGUUCGAGCGUCAUUUCACCACUCAAGCCUCGCUUGGUAUUGGGCGACGCGGUCCGCCGCGCGCCUCAAAUCGACCGGCUGGGUCUUCCGUCCCCUCAGCGUUGUGGAAACUAUUCGCUAAAGGGUGCCGCGGGAGGUCACGCCGCAAAACAACCCCAUUUCUAAGGUUGACCUCGGAUCAGGUAGGGAUACCCGCUGAACUUAAGC
rnacentral:misc_RNA from 1 species